rnacentral:rRNA from 1 species
GUAGGUGGCAAGCGUUGUCCGGGAAUUAUUGGGGGCGUAAAGCGCGCGCAGGCGGUUCUUUAAGUCUGAUGUGAAAGCCCACGGGCUCAACCGUGGAGGGUCAUUGGAAACUGGAGAACUUGAGUUCAGAAGAGGAAAGCGGAAUUCCACGUGUAGCGGUGAAAUGCGUAGAGAUGUGGAGGAACACCAGUGGCGAAGGCGGCUUUCUGGUCUGUAGCUGACGCUGAGGCGCGAAAGCGUGGGGAGCAAACAGGAUUAGAUACCCUGGUAGUCCACGCCGUAAACGAUGAGUGCUAAGUGUUAGGGGGUUUCCGCCCCUUAGUGCUGCAGCUAACGCAUUAAGCACUCCGCCUGGGGAGUACGGCCGCAAAGGCUG